rnacentral:rRNA from 1 species
UGAGGAAUAUUGGACAAUGGGUGAGAGCCUGAUCCAGCCAUCCCGCGUGAAGGACGACGGCCCUAUGGGUUGUAAACUUCUUUUGUACAGGGAUAAACCUACUCUCGUGAGGGUAGCUGAAGGUACUGUACGAAUAAGCACCGGCUAACUCCGUGCCAGCAGCCGCGGUAAUACGGAGGGUGCAAGCGUUAUCCGGAUUUAUUGGGUUUAAAGGGUCCGUAGGCGGGCCGAUAAGUCAGUGGUGAAAUCUCGCAGCUUAACUGUGAAACUGCCAUUGAUACUGUCGGUCUUGAGUAAAUUUGAAGUGGCUGGAAUAAGUAGUGUAGCGGUGAAAUGCAUAGAUAUUACUUAGAACACCAAUUGCGAAGGCAGGUCACUAAGAUUUAACUGACGCUGAGGGACGAAAGCGUGGGGAGCGAACA